ACCCUGUGAAGACCGAGAGAGAGGCCGUCCAGGUACCACGUAGCAGUUACAUCAGACUGAGACACUUCCUGUUUACAGGAGACUAUAAAACCCCUGCCCCAUCCUCAUUUGGUGCUGAUGCCAUUUUCAGCCUCAGCACGCCUGCACCCAGGCGCUCAUUAAAACAGCAUGUUGCUCCCCACUGCCUCGUGUUGUCUGUUGGCGCGCUGUCGGGGUUCGAACCGAUACAAGAACCUUCCACCUACCUGGUGCUUUGGCCUCAUCUAUAAGCGGCCAGUCAUCUGCCCUAAGUGCUGCCGCCGAAGACUGAAUGUCCUGGAAAGUUUGCUGUCACAUCUCCAUUAUGACAAAAGCAUUGUGCCGAACAGAUGAAAAAAUGCAUUGUCAACGGAAUCUUUUAUGUUUGUUUGUCUUCCUUUAAGCAACAUUGCCUUACUUGUUAUAAAAGAUAAAUAAAUAUUUGUUCAUUUCAA
rnacentral:lncRNA from 1 species